rnacentral:RNase_MRP_RNA from 13 species
UGAGUUUUUCAUGCUUGUCUCUCGGGGUAACACGACGAGUUCCUGGUAACUCUUUAUAAAUAUUUACACCCUGGGUAAAGUCCCCGGGCCUAUGAUAGAAAGUAUCAAGGCGUAAAAAGUGUAUAUAGAGAGGGAUUUAUAUUUCUCUUUACAUAUAUUCGCCUAUAUUCCGCGGAAAUUCGCCUUGCGUUGCGACGAAGAAGGAACGAAGUCCGCAAGGAUUUCUCUCCCGAGUCCUUUGCGUUUGGUUGUCUGCGGAAAUGUGCCAAAUAUAUCAGAUAUGGACGAGUUGGCAAUCAUCAAAUGCCACGUGUAUUUGGUGUUUGUCUACACGGAAUGGGGCUUACGUUGAGAAAUUU